rnacentral:rRNA from 1 species
UUGAACGCUGGCGGCAGGCCUAACACAUGCAAGUCGAGCGGUAGCACAGAGAGCUUGCUCUCGGGUGACGAGCGGCGGACGGGUGAGUAAUGUCUGGGAAACUGCCUGAUGGAGGGGGAUAACUACUGGAAACGGUAGCUAAUACCGCAUAAUGUCGCAAGACCAAAGUGGGGGACCUUCGGGCCUCAUGCCAUCAGAUGUGCCCAGAUGGGAUUAGCUAGUAGGUGGGGUAACGGCUCACCUAGGCGACGAUCCCUAGCUGGUCUGAGAGGAUGACCAGCCACACUGGAACUGAGACACGGUCCAGACUCCUACGGGAGGCAGCAGUGGGGAAUAUUGCACAAUGGGCGCAAGCCUGAUGCAGCCAUGCCGCGUGUGUGAAGAAGGCCUUCGGGUUGUAAAGCACUUUCAGCGGGGAGGAAGGCGGUGAGGUUAAUAACCUCAUCGAUUGACGUUACCCGCAGAAGAAGCACCGGCUAACUCCGUGCCAGCAGCCGCGGUAAUACGGAGGGUGCAAGCGUUAAUCGGAAUUACUGGGCGUAAAGCGCACGCAGGCGGUCUGUCAAGUCGGAUGUGAAAUCCCCGGGCUCAACCUGGGAACUGCAUUCGAAACUGGCAGGCUAGAGUCUUGUAGAGGGGGGUAGAAUUCCAGGUGUAGCGGUGAAAUGCGUAGAGAUCUGGAGGAAUACCGGUGGCGAAGGCGGCCCCCUGGACAAAGACUGACGCUCAGGUGCGAAAGCGUGGGGAGCAAACAGGAUUAGAUACCCUGGUAGUCCACGCCGUAAACGAUGUCGAUUUGGAGGUUGUGCCCUUGAGGCGUGGCUUCCGGAGCUAACGCGUUAAAUCGACCGCCUGGGGAGUACGGCCGCAAGGUUAAAACUCAAAUGAAUUGACGGGGGCCCGCACAAGCGGUGGAGCAUGUGGUUUAAUUCGAUGCAACGCGAAGAACCUUACCUGGUCUUGACAUCCACAGAACUUUCCAGAGAUGGAUUGGUGCCUUCGGGAACUGUGAGACAGGUUCUGCAUGGCUGUCGUCAGCUCGUGUUGUGAAAUGUUGGGUUAAGUCCCGCAACGAGCGCAACCCUUAUCCUUUGUUGCCAGCGGUUAGGCCGGGAACUCAAAGGAGACUGCCAGUGAUAAACUGGAGGAAGGUGGGGAUGACGUCAAGUCAUCAUGGCCCUUACGACCAGGGCUACACACGUGCUACAAUGGCAUAUACAAAGAGAAGCGACCUCGCGAGAGCAAGCGGACCUCAUAAAGUAUGUCGUAGUCCGGAUUGGAGUCUGCAACUCGACUCCAUGAAGUCGGAAUCGCUAGUAAUCGUAGAUCAGAAUGCUACGGUGAAUACGUUCCCGGGCCUUGUACACACCGCCCGUCACACCAUGGGAGUGGGUUGCAAAAGAAGUAGGUAGCUUAACCUUCGGGAGGGCGCUUACCACUUUGUGAUUCAUGACUGGGGUG